UAUUUAUAUUUUCAUGCCAGGUUGCCAACCAGGUCACUGUAUUAUCAUGCUUUACCUCCGCCCAUUGAUGCCCAGGGAGUGGUUCUGGAACGGGUACACCUUCACCAAUAUUAAUGGUAAUUUGUUCAGGAUAUACUCGACGCUUUAAAGAACCAGUUUUAGGAUGACUACCUCGACCACGAAAUAACCCUGGAGGUUCAAUACGAAAGUUACCAACCUUCUCCUUUCUCCCAUCAAGUAUGCACCAUUUAUAUUUUUCCUCUUCCUCAUCUUUUUUCUGCUUUAUUGCCUUCUUCUGUUCCUUCGGCAUACUCUUCUUCUCUUCCCUCUUUUGCUCAAAAUGGUGAAACAUUUGGGUAAAAUCACAUUUAGAAAACUCUUUAAUGUUGUGAUUAAAGUUACAUUCAUCACAGACCUUUAAGAAGUCACGGAAAAAAUUAUCUUGGAAUACAGGAUUUUUGGCAUGAUCGGUUUCAAGCAUUGCAGCAUAAAAACCAGCAACUUCUUCUGCUUCGGGAGGAAGAUUUACGGGGUUUCCAUCGUAAAUUAGCUUGACGUUCUUUGGUAAAGGUUCAUAGGGUGGAGCAAAAAUUACACCAUUAUGCUCCAAUGUAGUCCAUUUUUGAGUAUCAUCGAUAUUUUCUGAAGUCCACCACUUGUAAUCCUCAUCUUCAUCUUCCUCAUCGUUUGGUGAGCGAUUUUGCGUGGUCGAAGCUCCCGAAGGCAGUUCUGAUUUGUAAGGAGUUAAAGAUACAGUCGAAACAGCUCUCAAUGGAACUGAAUCAUCUGUGUCACUUUCCUCUUUUUUAACAGCUGACUUCGCGCCAUUUUUACUUCCAUUCGCUUUAGAAACACGUUUAUGCUUCGGUGAGGGCUUUGCAAUUUCAUUGAAAUCCUCUUCCUCUUUUACAACCGCCGUUUUUUUUCCGUUUUUUAAACCACCAUUUCCCAUUACUUUAGCUCUUUUUUUAGAGCUUGAAUUGGACAUAUUUUUCUUUGAAGAAGCACGUCUCUUUCUAAUCGGUAUAUCAUCCUCAUCACUCUCGGAUUUGGAUUUCUUAUUCAACGAUUCACUAAGAGGAUGAUUCUAAACAAUUAGUCAACAAUCUUUAAUUAUUAUGUUGUGAACAUACUUCAGAACUAUCACUCUCUUCGUCCGACUCCUUCAUACUAAUCCGUUUAGAUGAACCGCGUCUUUGCCUCCUUCUAAUGGAUAAAGACACGGAAUCUGAAUCUUUUCAGUUGUUAAAAAUUUUGCAAAUGUUGUUAAAUUACGUGAAACCUUACCAGACGAAGACAUUGUGAAUUGUUUGCAUACAUCUAUAAUACAGUAAAAGAAGGAUUAAUAUUGAGUACGUACACUCGUUGUCAUGACAACCAAAUAUUGACAA